UCCUCAAAAAUAGUUCAGUUGGUAGAGCAUGAGACUUUUAAUCCCAGGGUUUUGGGUUUGUGCCCAACAUUGGGCAA